GUCUACUACUAUACUACUCUGAACGCACCCAAUAUUGUCUGAUCUUGGAAGCUAAGCAGGGUAUGGCCUGGUUAGUACUUGGAUGGGAGAACUGGGCUAGCACAAA
rnacentral:rRNA from 1 species